UACGUAGGUGGCAAGCGUUGUCCGGAUUUACUGGGCGUAAAGAGCGCGCAGGCGGUCGUUCAAGUCGAGUGUGAAAGCCCCCGGCUCAACUGGGGAGGGUCACUCGAUACUGAUCGACUCGAAGGCAGAAGAGGGAAGCGGAAUUCCCGGUGUAGUGGUGAAAUGCGUAGAUAUCAGGAGGAACACCUGUGGCGAAGGCGGCCCUCUGGACGGUGACUGACGCUGAGACGCGAAAGCGUGGGGAGCAAACAGG
rnacentral:rRNA from 1 species